rnacentral:rRNA from 1 species
UCGCUCCUACCGAUUGAGUGAUCCGGUGAAUAAUUCGGACUGCAGCUUAGUCCAGUUCCUGGGCUUCGCAGCGGGAAGUUUAGUGAACCUUAUCACUUAGAGGAAGGAG